rnacentral:lncRNA from 1 species
GAUCAUAAAUGACACAAAUAGAGAAGUAAGGACAUUUGAUUUUUGGAUUGAAGUGUGACAUUGGCUUUUAACUUUUGGAAUGAAGAGUCAAUGUUUAGAGAAAAGAUUAUCAUAAUGGAUUAAGAGUUAAGAUAGUGCACUAAGAGAAAGACUAGCCAAUUGGAUUUUUAGUUUUUAUUUAACAAAUUUGGUGAUUUCCCAUGGACGUGGUUAUUGGAAAAAGAAAAGUUGGCUAUACUAAUGUAAUUGGUAAAAAUAAAUGGAGGACUAUAAAUGGCACAAAUAGAGAAGUCAAGAUAUUUGAGUUUUGAAUUGAAGUGUGACAUUCGACUUGAACAUUUCAGUGGUUUUGUUAGAAGUUUAAUGACUGAAUAGCUUUGCUUCGUAGUCGUAGGAAAUUGUUUGUUUAUGAUAAACUACCUAGGAUUAUUUUAUACAUAUACAGAACUGUUUUAAAUAUUGCUUCAUGGAAUAUCUUUGUUUUGUUUUUAUGUGUUCUUUGUCGAUAUAUAUAUGUGUUUUUGUUUCAAAGAGUAGGUGAGUCAAAUAGUAGGACUGAUUGUAAGACGGGUUGAGAGAUUGAUGAGCAAGGAAUGAAAUUAUAACAUCCUUUAUGUCUUAGUGGUUAGGAAUGGAGCAUUGAACUCUAAUUUUAAAAUAAAUAAUAAAUAUAUAUGUUUUGAGUAUUAAAAGUUUUUGAAGGAUUGUGAAGAAACUUAUAAACUAAUAGGUUUUUUAAAAGAACCAAGAAAAGAGGUCUGAAGGUUUUUAAUUAAAGGAGUACUUGAAUAAAAAUUCUUUCGGGUAAUUGGUGCAAGUGCAAAGAUAGAUUCUGUUGGUUAUAAGCUAGAUAAGGCAAUCUUAUGGAAUUGCUGAGUUUGUUAGGUAUUAAAGAGACCAAAAGAUAAGUUGAAUAAGAGAAUGAUUAUCUUCAAGUAGAUAGGAAGAUAAUUUGAAUAAGGGAAUUUCAAAUAAAAGUACGAUUUCGACUUCAAGUUUUUGAUAGAUUUCUUGCCAUUUUUGGAAGAAAUUAGCAAAUUCACUAAAGUGCUAAUAAAUGGACAAACUAAGAUACUUUAUUUCAGUAGCUGACAAUUGACCGUGGAAAUUGAUCUAAGUCCAAAACAUUAACAGUAUAGUAUAUAAUUAAAAAUGAAAUGGUCAAAUGUGAGAUUCGUUGGUAUAUGGUUUCUAGGGUUCUACAAGAUUGUCUGACAAAAUGCAAGAGAAACUCAUUUUCUGAAAAGGAGUAAUUGGACCGAUCAUGAAAAGAGUUUUCAGAUCAUUCUAAACAAAGAAAGGAGACAUUAGAAUAAAAGGUAUUUGAGUAAUUGGAACCAAAGAAGUAUAAAAUUGGAUGAAGAGUUUAAGAAGAUGGAAAAGCUUUGGUACUUUUUAGGAUUGGCAACUACUUGCCAUGAUGUUUUAUACGAGAAGAUAACAUUAGAGAUUGUGAAUUUAAAGAGGGGAGAAAAGACACAAAGAGUGUGGUGGAUGAUGGAGUAAUUCAUUGGAAGAGUUUCAUGUAAAUGAAACCUAAACAUAAAAUGGGUUUGGGUUUAUUGGUGCAAGAGAAAAGUUCCUAUCGGUCUAAUAAAGUAGAUUAGUAUGAGAUUGAAGUUCAACUUUUGAAUGAAGAGUUCUUGUCUUUUUUUGGACAAAAUAAGUGAUGAAAUGACGGACAAAGAUGAGGCAUCCGUUUAGUUUUUGCAAUUGUGGCUUUGGCUUGGACAUGAAGUUUGUUAUAUUUGGAGAUUCGCAUUGGCAUAGGUUAAAGUAUUAAAAGUUUUUUAAGGAUUAGUGGAGAAAGUUGUAAAGCCUAAUAGGUGUAUUUAAGGAACCAAGAAAAGAGGCCUAAUAGGUUGCCAUCUUUUGGAGAAAGGAUUAUCAAAUUGGAUCAAGUGUCGAGGCCGUAAAGAGAAAGUGGAAAGGGGAAAUGCCAAUGUAAGAAAGUGGAAAAAGAAAAUAUCAAAAUUAAAGAUAGGAAAAAAACAUGAAAAGUGAGAAGUCUGUGAUGAUUAUUGAUUUAGCGUUUAGAAGAGUUCGUACCAAGAAGUUUGUAUUACCCAUCAUUACCCUAGAGCCGGACUAGGGUAUGAUGGGUACUAAAUACUUUUUUGUAGCAUUCGCUGCUAAAAACUAAGCCAAUAAUCAUCACCGCUUUUAACACAUUUCUUGUUUUUUCUUGUAUUUUAAUUUGUUAUUUUCUUUUUCUACUUUCUUACUUUGACUAAUGGUGAGAUUAGCCAAAUGGAUAAAAUUUUUAUUUAAGGGAUGAGGUGAGUUCUCUUUGCCAUUGUUUUGAGAAAUGAUUAUCAACUUGAAUUAGUGUUGAAAUAGUGCACUAAGAGUCAUAUUAGCCAAUUGGAUCAAGGUUUUAUUUAAGCUCUAUGGUAAUUUUUCGUUGAUAUGAAUAUAGCGAAAAGUCAUUUGGCUAAUGAAAUGAUAUUGAAAAAAGACAACAUGGAGGACUAUAGACGACACAAAAAGAAAAGUUAGAAUAUAAGAGUUUUGGAUUGAAGUGUGACGUUGAGAUUCAAGUUUUGGAUUAAAGAACUCUAGCCAAUUGUUUUGAGAAAGAAAUAUCAAAAUGGAUUUGUGCUGAGAUUAUGCAUUUAAAUUGUGAAUAGAUUAAGUUUUUGUUUAACGAAUUUGGUGAUUUCCAAUGGACAUGGUUGUUGGAAAAAAAAGUUGGCUAUACUAAAGUAAAUUGUAAAAAGAACAUGGAGGACUAUAAUCGACACAAAUAUAGAAGUGUGGAUUUAUUUAACAAAUUUGGUGAUUUCCAUGGAUAUGGUUAUUGGAAAAAGAAAAGUUUGCUGAACUAAUGUAAUUGGCAAAAAGAACGUGGAGGACCAGAAAUGGCACAAAUAGAGAAGUAAGGAUAUUUGAGUUUUGGAUUGUUAAGUGUUAUUCAAUUUUAACUUUUGGAAUGAAUAACCAUUGUUUCGAGAAAAGAUUAUCAGAAUGAAUUAAGAGUUAAAGAUAGUGCACUAAGAGGAAGAUUAGCCAAUUGGAUUAAGUUUUUAUUUAACGAAUUUGGUGAUUUGUUGUUGACAUGAUUAUUGGAACAAGAAAAGUUGGCUAUACUAAUGUAAUUGGUAUAAAGAACAUGAAGGACCAUAAAAGGCACAAAUAUAGAAGUAAGGAUAUUUGAUUUUUUGAUUGAUGUGUGACAUUCAACUUUUAACUUUUGGAAUGAAGAGCCAAUGUUUUGAAAACAGAUUACUUGUUUUGAAAACAGAUUACCAUAAUGGAUUUAGAGUUAAGAUAGUGCACUACGAGAAAGAUUAGCCAUUUGGAUUUAGGAUUUUGUUUAAGGAAUUUGGUGAUUUGCCAUGGAUAUGGUUAGUGGAAGAAGAAAUGUUGGCUAUACUAAUAUAAUUGGUAAAAAGAACAUGGAGGACUAUAAAGGAAACAAAUAAAGAAGUAAGGAUAUUUGAGUUUUGGAUUGAAGUGUGGCAUUUGGACUUUAACUUUUGGAAUGAAGAGCCAAUGCUUGGAGAAAGGAUUACGAUGAAUUAAGUGUUAAAAUAGUUCGAUAUUUGAGUUUUGGAUUGAAGUGUGGCAUUUGGACUUUUAACUUUUGGAAUGAAGAGCCAAUGCUUGGAGAAAGGAUUACGAUGAAUUAAGUGUUAAAAUAGUUCCUUAAUUGUAAGAUUAGUCAAUUGGAUUAUGAUAGAUCACCAAGUUGUGUUCGUAUUGUAUGGAUAUAAACUUCAACGAUUGCAGUAAGGAAUAGAUCAAUUUCAGAAUGAAAAGUACGAAAAACCAAGAAGAGAAUUAAAAGAACUAUCCUCUCUGCUUUUGGGUUAAUUUGUGCAAGAGAAAGGUCCCAUUGGUGUAAUAAGGUGUCGGAUGAGAUUGAACUUAAAUUUUUGAAUGAAGAGUUAUUUGCUUUCUUUGGAUGAAAUAAGUUACGAAAUGUUAAGAUGGACAGAGAUAAGGUAUCCAUUUGGUUUUCGGAGUAGUGGCUUUCGCUUGGACAUGAAGUUUGUUAUAUUUGUGGAGAUUCAUUGGCACAAGGUUUUGGAGUAUUAAAAGUUUUGAAGGAUUGGUGGAGAAGCGUAUAAGCCUAAUAGGUGUAUCUAAUGGAACCAAAAAAAGAAGUAUGGAGGUUUUUAAUUAAAGGAAGUACUUGAAUGAAAGAUCUUUGGGUAAUUAACGCUAAUGCUGGUUCGAUUCUGUUUAUUAUAAGCUGAUUACGGGCAAUCUUAUGGAAUUGCUUAGUUUGUUAGGUAUUGAAGAAGGCAGGAAGAUAAGUUUGUAUAAGGCCAUGAUUAUGUAAGGAGAUGGGAAGAUAAGUUUGAAUAAAGGAAUUUUAUACUAAAGUAUAAAAAGAACAUGGAGGACUAUAAAUGGGACAAAUAGAGAAGUAAGGAUAUUUGAGUUUUGCAUUUAAGUGUGGCAUUGGACUUCAACUUUUGGAAUGAAGAGCCAAUGUUCAGAGAAAAGAUUAUCAAAAUGGAUUAAGAGUUAAGAUAGUGCACUAAGAGAAAUAUUAGCCAAUUGAAUUAAGUUUUAAUUAAACGAAUUUGGUGAUUUGCCAUGUACAUGGUUAUUGGAAAAAGAAAACUGGGCCAUACUAUUGCAAUAUUGGUAAAAAGAACAUAGAAGAUCAUAAAUGACACAAAUAGAGAAGUAAGGACAUUUGAUUUUUGGAUUGAAGUGUGACAUUGGCUUUUAACUUUUGGAAUGAAGAGUCAAUGUUUAGAGAAAAGAUUAUCAUAAUGGAUUAAGAGUUAAGAUAGUGCACUAAGAGAAAGACUAGCCAAUUGGAUUUUUAGUUUUUAUUUAACAAAUUUGGUGAUUUCCCAUGGACGUGGUUAUUGGAAAAAGAAAAGUUGGCUAUACUAAUGUAAUUGGUAAAAAUAAAUGGAGGACUAUAAAUGGCACAAAUAGAGAAGUCAAGAUAUUUGAGUUUUGAAUUGAAGUGUGACAUUCGACUUGAACAUUUUCAGUGGUUUUGUUAGAAGUUUAAUGACUGAAUAGCUUUGCUUCGUAGUCGUAGGAAAUUGUUUGUUUAUGAUAAACUACCUAGGAUUAUUUUAUACAUAUACAGAACUGUUUUAAAUAUUGCUUCAUGGGAAUAUCUUUGUUUUGUUUUUAUGUGUUCUUUGUCGAUAUAUAUAGUGUUUUUGUUUCAAAGAGUAGGUGAGUCAAAUAGUAGGACUGAUUGUAAAGACGGGUUUGAGAGAAGUUGAUGAGCAAGGAAUGAAAUUAUAACAUCCUUUAUUGUCUUAGUGGUUAGGAAUGGAGCAUUGAACUCUAAUUUUAAAAUAAAUAAUAAUAUAUAUGUUUUGAGUAUUAAAAGUUUUUGAAGGAUUGGUGAAGAAACUUAUAAGCCUAAUAGGUGUUUUUAAAGGAACCAAGAAAAGAGGUCUGAAGGUUUUUAAUUAAAGGGAGUACUUGAAUAAAAAUUCUUUCGGGUAAUUGGUGCAAGUGCAAAGAUAGAUUCUGUUGGUUAUAAGCUAGAUAAGGGGCAAUCUUAUGGAAUUGCUGAGUUUGUUAGGUAUUAAAGGAGACCCAAAGAUAAGUUGAAUAAGAGAAUGAUUAUCUUCAAGUAGAUAGGAAGAUAAGUUUGAAUAAGGGAAUUUCAAAUUAAAGUACGAUUUCGGACUUCAAGUUUUUGAUAGAUUUCUUGUCAUUCUUUGGAAGAAAGAUUAGCAAACUCAUUGAAGUGCUAAUGAAAUGGACAAACUAAGAUACUUUCUUUGAGUAGCUGACAAUUGGCUAUGGAGAUUGAUUUGAGACUUGACUAAUGAAAUGGACAAACUAAGAAAAGAGGUCUGAAGGUUUUUAAUUAAAGGGAGUACUUGAAUAAAAAUUCUUUCGGGUAAUUGGUGCAAGUGCAAAGUUAGAUUCUGUUGGUUAUAAGCUAGAUAAGGGGCAAUCUUAUGGAAUUGCUGAGUUUGUUAGGUAUUAAAGGAGACCCAAAGAUAAGUUGAAUAAGAGAAUGAUUAUCUUCAAGUAGAUAGGAAGAUAAGUUUGAAUAAGGGAAUUUCAAAUUAAAGUACGAUAUUGGACUUCAAGUUUUUGAUAGAUUUCUUGUCAUUCUUUGGAAGAAAGAUUAGCAAACUCAUUGAAGUGCUAAUGAAAUGGACAAACUAAGCUACUUUCUUUGAGUAGCUGACAAUUGGCUAUGGAGAUUGAUUUGAGACCUGACGAUAACAUUAGAGUGUGCCAUUAAGAAUGAAAAAGUCACAUGGAGAUUCAUUGGUAUAUGGUAUUUAUGGUUCAACAAUAUUCUUGGAUAAGUGCAAGAGAAACUCAUUCUCCUAAAAGGAGUAAUUGGACAUAUGAUGGAAAGAGGUUUGAGACAGUUCUAAACAAAGAAAGGAGGCAUUAGAAGAAAAGGUAUUUGGGUAAUUGGAAGCGAAGAAAAGUUGCAUCGUAUUUGGUCACUUGUUGAGUUGAAGUGUUAUGUAUGUAAUGUGGGAGGAAGAUAAGUACAAUUAGAGAAUUAUGGAUUAGUAUAUGGUAUGAUAUUGGACUCCUAUUUUUUAUGGAAGCGUUCUAUUCGAUGAAACAUUAAACAAUUGGAUGAAGAGUUGAGAAAAUGGACAAAUUAAGGUACUUUCUUAUAAUUGGCUACAAUUUUCACGAAAAAUGAUGUUAGAAUUCAAGAUUAUAUGCUAAAGGAAAAGAGAUACGGAAGUAUAUGGUGGAUCAAGAGUAUUUAUUUAAAUCAAUAUCAAAACUGAAAAUUGAAGUAUUAUUUGAAGAAUUUGUUUGGAAUAAAAUGGACUUGAGCAUUCCAUUUGGUUUUCAAAUAUGAGGGUACAAAUUAAUAUUUAUUCAGGAGUUUUUUGGAAUUGAAGAUACAUUUUUAUGAUUUUGGAUUUUAAAUGUUAAGAAACUCACAAGUCUAAAAAAGAAUAGUUGAAGAGAAAAGUUUGAUUGUACACAAUAUUAACAGAAAAGGUUUUGGAUUUGUUGGGUUGAAUCGUUAUGUUACAUAAGGAAAAUAAGUUAUAAUAAAAGAAUUUUCUAUUAUUCAACUAUAUGAUUGUACUUCCACGUUUUGGCGUUUGGUGAGGUCUAGACAUUCUUUGGAUAAAGGAGUAUAAAAUUGGAUGGAGAGUUCACAACUUGGAGAAACAUGAUACUUUUAAGAUUUGCCAAAUUGCCGUGAUAUCUUAUAGGAGAAAUUAUGAAUUUAAAGAGGGGAAAAGCACAUGGAGUGUGGUGGAUCAUGGAGUAAUUCAUUGAAAAGAUUUUUAGUAAAUGAAACUCUAAAAUAACAAGUGCUUGGGUUAAUUGGUGCAGGAGUAAAGUUUCUUUUGGUCUAAUAAGGUUAAUAUGAGAUUGAAGUUCGACUUUUGAAUGAAGUGUUCUUGUCCUUCUUUGGAUGAAAUAAGUAAUGAAAUGUUAAGAUGGACAGAGAUGGGGCACCUAUUUGAUUUUCUUCACAGUUCUGGCUUUGGCUUGGACAUGAAGUUGGUUAUAUUUGGACAUUUUCAUUGGUAGAAGGUAGAGUAUUAAAAGUUUUUGAAGGAUUGGUGGAGAAACUUGUAAGCCUAAUAUGUGUAUUUAAAGGAACCAAGAAAAGAGGCCUAAUAGGUUGCCAUCUUUUGAAGAAAGGAUUAUCAAAUUGGAUCAAGUGUUGAAGCAGUAGGAGAGAAAGUGGAAAGGAGGAAAAGAGAAAGUGGAAAGGAGGAAAAGAGAAAGUGGAAAGGGGGAAAUAUUGAAGUCAGAAAGUAGAAGAAGAAAAUACCAAAAUUGAAGAUAGGAAAAAAACAUGAGAAGUGAGAAGGCUGUGAUGAUUAUUGAUUUAGCUUUUAGAAGAGUUCGUACCAAAAAGUUUGUAUUACCCAUCAUUACCCUAGAGCCGGACUAGGGUAUGAUGGGAAAUAAAUACUUUUUGUAGCAUUCGCUCCUAAAAACUAAGCCAAUAAUCAUCACCGCUUUUAUCAAAUUUCUUGUUUUUUUCUUGUAUUUUAAUUUGGUAUUUUCUUUUUCUACUUUCUUACUUUGACUAACGGUGAGAUUAGCCUAAUGGAUUAAAUUUUUAUUUAAGGGAUGGGUGAGUGCUCAUAUCUCUUUGCCAUUGUUUUGAGAAAUGAUUAUCAACUUGAAUUAG